rnacentral:rRNA from 1 species
UGGGGGAAUAUUGCACAAUGGGCGCAAGCCUGAUGCAGCAACGCCGCGUGGGGGACGAAGGCCUUCGGGUUGUAAACCCCUUUCAUCAGGGAAGAAGCGAAAGUGACGGUACCUGCAGAAGAAGCGCCGGCUAACUACGUGCCAGCAGCCGCGGUAAUACGUAGGGCGCAAGCGUUGUCCGGAAUUAUUGGGCGUAAAGAGCUCGUAGGCGGUUUGUCGCGUCUGCUGUGAAACCCGAGGCUCAACCUCGGGCCUGCAGUGGGUACGGGCAAACUAGAGUGUGGUAGGGGAGAUCGGAAUUCCUGGUGUAGCGGUGGAAUGCGCAGAUAUCAGGAGGAACACCAAUGGCGAAGGCAGAUCUCUGGGCCACAGCUGACGCUGAGGAGCGAAAGCGUGGGGAGCGAACAGGAUUAGAUACCCUGGUAGUCCACGCCGUAAACGGUGGGCACUAGAUGUGGGGGCCAGUUCCAUGGUUUCCGCGUCGCAGCUAACGCU